rnacentral:rRNA from 1 species
GAUGAACGCUGACAGAAUGCUUAACACAUGCAAGUCUACUUGAUCCUUCGGGUGAUGGUGGCGGACGGGUGAGUAACGCGUAAAGAACUUGCCCUGCAGUCUAGGACAACAUUUGGAAACGAAUGCUAAUACCGGAUAUUAUGUGAGUUUCGCAUGAAAUUCAUAUGAAAGCUAUAUGCGCUGCAGGAGAGCUUUGCGUCCUAUUAGCUAGUUGGUGAGGUAACGGCUCACCAAGGCGAUGAUAGGUAGCCGGCCUGAGAGGGUGAACGGCCACAAGGGGACUGAGACACGGCCCUUACUCCUACGGGAGGCAGCAGUGGGGAAUAUUGGACAAUGGACCAAAAGUCUGAUCCAGCAAUUCUGUGUGCACGAUGAAGUUUUUCGGAAUGUAAAGUGCUUUCAGUUGGGACGAAGUAAGUGACGGUACCAACAGAAGAAGCGACGGCUAAAUACGUGCCAGCAGCCGCGGUAAUACGUAUGUCGCAAGCGUUAUCCGGAUUUAUUGGGCGUAAAGCGCGUCUAGGCGGUUUGGUAAGUCUGAUGUGAAAAUGCGGGGCUCAACUCCGUAUUGCGUUGGAAACUGUCAAACUAGAGUACUGGAGAGGUGGGCGGAACUACAAGUGUAGAGGUGAAAUUCGUAGAUAUUUGUAGGAAUGCCGAUGGGGAAGCCAGCCCACUGGACAGAUACUGACGCUAAAGCGCGAAAGCGUGGGUAGCAAACAGG